rnacentral:rRNA from 1 species
UGGGGAAUAUUGGACAAUGGGGGCAACCCUGAUCCAGCAAUACCGCGUGUGUGAAGAAGGCCUGCGGGUUGUAAAGCACUUUCAAUUGUGAAGAAAAGCCUAAGGUUAAUAACCUUGGGUCUUGACGUUAACUUUAGAAGAAGCACCGGCUAACUCCGUGCCAGCAGCCGCGGUAAUACGGAGGGUGCAAGCGUUAAUCGGAAUUACUGGGCGUAAAGCGCGCGUAGGUGGUUAGGUAAGUCAGAUGUGAAAGCCCCGGGCUCAACCUGGGAACUGCAUUUGAUACUGCCUGGCUAGAGUAUGGUAGAGGGAAGCGGAAUUCCGGGUGUAGCGGUGAAAUGCGUAGAUAUCCGGAGGAACAUCAGUGGCGAAGGCGGCUUCCUGGACCAAUACUGACACUGAGGUGCGAAAGCGUGGGUAGCAAACAGGAUUAGAUACCCCCGUAGUCC